rnacentral:lncRNA from 1 species
AUGAAGGGAACAGAGAUUCCUAUCCCCACCUCACUGACGUCUACAGCAUCACCACAGGUUCCAUCUCAGGCUGAGGUCAAGGGUGCUCUAAAGAUUCUGUUCUCAGAUUUGGCGUCUUCUACAGACAAAAUUGAAGUAACGUCACAUCAAAAACAGACAUUGACUAAACUGUCUGGAAAAGGCAAGAAGCCUGCUGCAACUCCCAUCAAUCCGACACCACCUCCCCGUGUUGGAAGACAAUUUCGGAGGAAUGCACCACCGCCUUUUCUUGUUGUUAAAGGAGAAGCUAAGCCUGCACCACCACGGCGCGAUGUCAGCACAAAGACACGUAGAGUGUCCUCAGUGAGGGUUCAGCAGCAGAGUGAAGGAACCACUGGUGACAUCAACAAAAAGCCAGAAACGCGCAUACUGCCACCGAUUUUGAAAAAAUCACCUGCAGAUGUUUCCGUUUCUAAACGCAGUGCAGCCGCUAAGCCCUCCAAACUUGCCAGUAUCCCAGUACCAGAGACUACAGAAAAGCUUGCUAUCCCACCUAUUCCACAGAGGAAUACUAGAGCAGGCCAGGUUUCUGUGGUCCAGGGUAAGGGUAUAACCCCUAAACCCAGGAAAGGAACCACUGGCGACAUCAAGAAAAUGCCAGAAACGCGCAUACUGCCACCGAUUCUAAAAAAAUCGUCAACACCUGCAGAUGCUUCAGUUUCUAAACGCAGUGCAGCCACUAAGCCCUCCAAACUUCCCUGUAUGCCAGUACUAGAGACUACACAAAAACGUGUUCUCCCGACUAUUUCACAGAGGACUACCAGAGCAGACAAGGUCUCUGUGGUCAAGGGUAAGGGUAUAACCCCUAAACCCAGGCAAGGAACCACUGAUGACAUUAAGAAAAUGCCAGAAACACGCACACUGCCGCCGAUUCUAAAAAAAUCGUCAACACCUGCAGAUGCUUCAGUUUCAAAACGCAGUGCAGCCACCAAGCCCUCCAAACUUCUCUGUAUCCCAGUAGUAGAGACUACACAAAAACGUGUUCUCCCGACUAUUUCACAGAGGACUACGAGAGCAGACCAGGUCUCUGUGGUCCAGGGUAAGGGUAUAACCUCUAAACCCAGGACAGGGUCACCAAUGGCCAGGCAGGUGGUGUCAGGGAAGACCAGCAGCAGGUCUCCAGUACGCAAAGCAGUCAGGUCAGUAAAGGAAAAGGGAAAACCGAAGAGGACAGACAGAACACCAAGGCCUGAAAGCAUUAAGGAACCUGAAACGAAGAGAUCGAAACCAAAGGAGCCAGAGAAAAACAGGAUUCGACCAAAUAGAUCACCAGAUGGGGCCAGAGGACAGAGGGCUCUGUGGAUCGACAGGGAGAGGGUAAUCCCAGUGCUAAAGAUGACAGUUAUUGACAUCUUUGGUAGCCCAGCUUCUGCAGCCCAGGGCACUAACCACACUUUUCCUCAUCCACCGCAUGCUGUCCAUGCUAUAUAG